rnacentral:rRNA from 1 species
GACGAAGGGGGCUAGCGUUGUUCGGAAUUACUGGGCGUAAAGCGCGUGUAGGCGGCUCGGCAAGUCGGGUGUGAAAGCCCUGGGCUUAACCUAGGAAGUGCACUCGAAACUGCCAAGCUUGAGUUCUGGAGAGGAAGGCGGAAUUCUCGGUGUAGAGGUGAAAUUCGUAGAUAUCGAGAGGAACACCGGUGGCGAAGGCGGCCUUCUGGACAGCAACUGACGCUGAGACGCGAAAGCGUGGGGAGCAAACAGG